rnacentral:lncRNA from 1 species
GAGUCCUCCUAAACUCCUCUGUGCCCGACAAUCAGGAGUGAGCUUUGCCAGUGGAAAGCCUUGGCAAGUCCUCCAGCGGUUCUGUCUGAUCACCAUGAAGGACUUGGGGAGGGGAAGUGGAGUUUUGAGGAGUGAAUCAAGGAGGAGGCUGAGAGUUUGGUGGAGGAGCUGUGGACACCUCAGGAUGAGCCCCGUGGGGACUCAAGAUGGGGACAUAGGGAGGAAGAAAUGACUGAUAAGAGACAGGGACAGGGAGAUAUAGACAGAUUCAGGGAGAGAGGGAGACAGAG